rnacentral:rRNA from 1 species
GAUUUUUCUCCUGUCUCAGGAAGAACGCGGGGGGUGUUUUUAACACAUGCAAGUAGAAGGAAAAGUCCCUUUUGGGGGGACACGAGGGGAACGGGGGAGUGACACACGAGUGAUUUUUCCCCGACUCUGGGAGAGACACCGGAAAAAGUGGUUAUAACCCGAUAUAUCCACUCCUCGCAUAGGGUGGGGGUGGAAAAGUUUUUCGGUGCAGGAUGAGCUCGCGGCCUAUCAGCUUGUUGGUGGGGUAAUGGCUCACCAAGGCGUCGACGGGUAGCCGGCCUGAGAGGGUGACCGGCCACACUGGGACUGAGACACGGCCCAGACUCCUACGGGAGGCAGCAGUGGGGAAUAUUGCACAAUGGGCGCAAGCCUGAUGCAGCGACGCCGCGUGAGGGAUGACGGUCUUCGGGUUGUAAACCUCUUUCAGCACGGGACGAAGCGAAAGUGACGGUACGUGCAGAAGAUGCC